rnacentral:rRNA from 1 species
AAUGAACGCUGGCGGCAUGCCUAACACAUGCAAGUCGAACGAGACCUCCGUAACUGGUUGCGCACGGGGGCGUAACGCGUCGGAACCUGGCGUUAUACUCGGGAUAAUUCCCCUACGGGGGGGCUAAUACCGGGUAAUUUCCUCUGACAAAAGAUUCAUCGUCUGGGUAUGGGCCCGCGUUCGUCUAGCUAGUAGGUAGGGUAUGAGCCUACCUAGGCUACGAUCCAUAGCUGGUCUGAGAGGAUGAUCAGCCACACUGCGACUGGGACACGUCCCGGACUCUGACGGGAGGCAGCAGGGGGGAAUCAUGGACACUGGGCGAAUGAAGGAUGCAGUAAUGCUGCGAAGGUGAUGUGGGCCGUAGGAUAGGAAAGCUCUUUUACCCGCGAUGAUAAGGACAGUACCGGGAGAAUAAGCCCCGGCUAACUCCGG